rnacentral:lncRNA from 1 species
AUGAGAUGAAUGAGUUUUUUUUUUUAAAAAAAUUAUAUAAUAUUUGCAUCUAGAAAAAAAAAUUCGUAUAUAAGCAUUUGUAGUUCAGGAAACUGAAAACAAAAUUUAAAAAAUGCAGUAAAGAGAUCGAAUGAGUUUGAAAAGAUUAAAAUGUUGUUCUCAGUGCUAUAUUUACUACUCAUUUUGUAUGCAUAAGCAUAAAAUAUAAAAAAUAAAACCAAAUACAGCUUUCUACAACUUGACAUGUUAAACCUUUACCUGAGGGUUUGGAGGACAUAAUACGAGCAGGAAAGAGUAUACAAAAGUAAGAAUCGAAUUAACCAAGAGUGAUGUUGUACAAAAACUUACAUAAACAUAGUCCUCCAAAACAGUAUACAAACAGGAAGGGAAGUAUAUGAAAGUAAUAACAAAGAAAGAAUCAUAUCUUAAGUCUUUCCAAAUACAGAAAAGUUGUUACUAAAAAUGUCUAACAAACUACUCCACUUUUGAGAGAAUUUCCCGGGAGAAAUCAACAAACUGAAGGUGCAUAAUCUCUGUGAACAAUUACAGAAGAUACUGAGAUGAAAAAAAGGUCUUUUCUGUAGGAAAAAAGAAAGCACACAAUUGAAAGUGCAUACUUUUCCAAGAAUAAUAACAGAAGAUAAUGAGAGAGAGAGAGAGAGAACAACGUCAAAGGAGAAACGGAUAAGAAAGAUAAUUCAGUGAAGCAAAAAGAAAGAAAAAAAGGCUAAGAUGUAUUGCUAGGAAAGAAGGGGAGUACACGAAAGUAACAAUAAAGAAUGAACCACAUGUGAAGUUCUCCAAAUACAGAAUGUGUUACUAAAAGUAUACAGGAACUAGUAUCCACCUUUCAAGGUGU